AUCAAGCUAAACAGUAGUCACUGGGUUCCACGGUUCUCUUCCGUGACCCACGGCUUCUGACAGAGCUAUAACACUCACCACAUGGCCCAAGAUUCCAUUCCUUGGAAUCUGUGAGGCCAAGAACCCCAGGUUAGAGAACCUGAGGCUUGCCACCAUCUUAGAAGCGGCUUGCCACCAUCUUGGAAGUGGCUCGCCACCAUUUUGGCAACCAGGAAGGGACCUCCAAAGCGACCUGCCACUGACUCCCAUCCCUCCGGAUCCGGCAGGCUGUCCGCUGUGCUCCUGAACCAGCGAGGCACCCAUUGCCAAUCCUGAUUGGGCUAAAGGCUUGCCGUUGUUCCUGCACGGCUAAGUGCCCAGGUUCAUCCUAAUUGAGCUGAACACUAGUCACUGGGUUCCACGGUUCUCUUCCAUGACCCAUGGCUUCUAAUAGAGCUAUAACACUCACCGCACGGCCCAAGAUUCCAUUCCUUGGAAUCUGUGAGGCCAAGAACCCCAGGUCAGAGAACACGAGGCUAGCCACCAUCUUGGAAGUGGCCUACCACCAUCUUGGAAGUGGCUCGCCACCAUCUGAGGAGCUCUGUGAGCAAGGACCCCCGGGAGAAAGCAUUUAUGGUGAGGAGAAAAGCAGCUGGUAUCACACUCUACCCAAGUCCCAAAAGCAGGUUCACAUAACUCCUGUCUUCAUUAUCUGAUAUCCGGGACUUUUUCCCUUUCACCUUCCAUUAUAGGAUGAUGCAGCAAGAAGGCCCUCACCAGAUACCAGUCCUUUGAUCUUGGACUACCCAGGCUUCAGAACUAUAAGAAAUAAAUCUCCGUUCUUUGAGGAUUACCCAGUUUGUGCUAUUCUGUUAUGGCAGCACAAAAUGGACUAAGACAUAGGUCCAAUCUAAGGCCUAUCUCCCAGAGGACACCUCAUAGCUGUGAAUGAAU
rnacentral:lncRNA from 1 species